CGGAGGGAAACCGAGUCUUAAUUGGGCGUUAAGUUGCAGGGUAUAGACCCGAAACCCGGUGAUCUAGCCAUGGGCAGGUUGAAGGUUGGGUAACACUAACUGGAGGACCGAACCGACUAAUGUUGAAAAAUUAGCGGAUGACCUGUGGCUGGGGGUGAAAGGCCAAUCAAACCGGGAGAUAGCUGGUUCUCCCCGAAAGCUAUUUAGGUAGCGCCUCGUGAAUUCAUCUCCGGGGGUAGAGCACUGUUUCGGCUAGGGGGCCAUCCCGGCUUACCAACCCGAUGCAAACUGCGAAUACCGGAGAAUGUUAUCACGGGAGACACACGGCGGGUGCUAACGUCCGUCGUGAAGAGGGAAACAACCCAGACCGCCAGCUAAGGUCCCAAAGUCAUGGUUAAGUGGGAAACGAUGUGGGAAGGCCCAGACAGCCAGGAUGUUGGCUUAGAAGCAGCCAUCAUUUAAAGAAAGCGUAAUAGCUCACUGGUCGAGUCGGCCUGCGCGGAAGAUGUAACGGGGCUAAACCAUGCACCGAAGCUGCGGCAGCGAACGUAUCACCCAAGACAACUUUACGGAGUUGACGAUUGACGGAGCGAAGCGACGUCAAAGCGUUCAUUAAAGUCGAGUUGGCUUAGGGAUACGUUCGUUGGGUAGGGGAGCGUUCUGUAAGCCUGUGAAGGUGUGUCGUGAGGCAUGCUGGAGGUAUCAGAAGUGCGAAUGCUGACAUAAGUAACGAUAAAGCGGGUGAAAAGCCCGCUCGCCGGAAGACCAAGGGUUCCUGUCCAACGUUAAUCGGGGCAGGGUGAGUCGACCCCUAAGGCGAGGCCGAAAGGCGUAGUCGAUGGGAAACGGGUUAAUAUUCCCGUACUUGGUGUUACUGCGAAGGGGGGACGGAGAAGGCUAUGUUGGCCGGGCGACGGUUGUCCCGGUUUAAGCGUGUAGGUGUGUGUUCCAGGUAAAUCCGGUUCACUUUAACACUGAGGCGUGACGACGAGGCACUACGGUGCUGAAGCAACAAAUGCCCUGCUUCCAGGAAAAGCCUCUAAGCAUCAGGUAACACGAAAUCGUACCCCAAACCGACACAGGUGGUCAGGUAGAGAAUACCAAGGCGCUUGAGAGAACUCGGGUGAAGGAACUAGGCAAAAUGGUGCCGUAACUUCGGGAGAAGGCACGCUGACACGUAGGUGAAGUGAUUUACUCAUGGAGCUGAAGUCAGUCGAAGAUACCAGCUGGCUGCAACUGUUUAUUAAAAACACAGCACUGUGCAAACACGAAAGUGGACGUAUACGGUGUGACGCCUGCCCGGUGCCGGAAGGUUAAUUGAUGGGGUCAGCGCAAGCGAAGCUCCUGAUCGAAGCCCCGGUAAACGGCGGCCGUAACUAUAACGGUCCUAAGGUAGCGAAAUUCCUUGUCGGGUAAGUUCCGACCUGCACGAAUGGCGUAAUGAUGGCCAGGCUGUCUCCACCCGAGACUCAGUGAAAUUGAACUCGCUGUGAAGAUGCAGUGUACCCGCGGCAAGACGGAAAGACCCCGUGAACCUUUACUAUAGCUUGACACUGAACAUUGAGCCUUGAUGUGUAGGAUAGGUGGGAGGCUUUGAAGUGUGGACGCCAGUCUGCAUGGAGCCGACCUUGAAAUACCACCCUUUAAUGUUUGAUGUUCUAACGUGGACCCGUAAUCCGGGUUGCGGACAGUGUCUGGUGGGUAGUUUGACUGGGGCGGUCUCCUCCUAAAGAGUAACGGAGGAGCACGAAGGUUGGCUAAUCCUGGUCGGACAUCAGGAGGUUAGUGCAAUGGCAUAAGCCAGCUUGACUGCGAGCGUGACGGCGCGAGCAGGUGCGAAAGCAGGUCAUAGUGAUCCGGUGGUUCUGAAUGGAAGGGCCAUCGCUCAACGGAUAAAAGGUACUCCGGGGAUAACAGGCUGAUACCGCCCAAGAGUUCAUAUCGACGGCGGUGUUUGGCACCUCGAUGUCGGCUCAUCACAUCCUGGGGCUGAAGUAGGUCCCAAGGGUAUGGCUGUUCGCCAUUUAAAGUGGUACGCGAGCUGGGUUUAGAACGUCGUGAGACAGUUCGGUCCCUAUCUGCCGUGGGCGCUGGAGAACUGAGGGGGGCUGCUCCUAGUACGAGAGGACCGGAGUGGACGCAUCACUGGUGUUCGGGUUGUCAUGCCAAUGGCACUGCCCGGUAGCUAAAUGCGGAAGAGAUAAGUGCUGAAAGCAUCUAAGCACGAAACUUGCCCCGAGAUGAGUUCUCCCUGAGACUUAGAGUCUCCUGAAGGAACGUUGAAGACGACGACGUUGAUAGGCCGGGUGUGUAAGCGCAGCGAUGCGUUGAGCUAACCGGUACUAAUGAACCGUGAGGCUUAACCUUACA
rnacentral:rRNA from 1 species